rnacentral:lncRNA from 1 species
GCUGGUUCUUCCAGGAGCGCGCAUGAGCGGACGCUGCCUACUGGUGGCCGGGCGGGAUGUAACCGGCUGCUGAGCUGGCAGUUCUGUGUCGCUAGGCUUCUGCCCGGCCGCCGCCGCACAUAAGCCACGAGGAGGAGCUUUACGACUUCCCGGUCUUCGGCGCCGGGCGCAGCAAGGGCCAGACUCUGCGCUAGCAGGCGCUGCGCGCCAACCGGCCGGCACCUGUCGCAGAAGGUGCAACCGAUCGCACUGUCGCGCAGAAGCUCCUCAAUGGCCAGCGCCAGCUGCAGCCCCGGCCGCCCACUCGCCUCAUCUGAGCCUGGGCAAAUCUGGAUUGGGAAAGUUGACAUUAAUCAACUCAUUAUUCCUCACAGAUUUGUAUUCUCCAGAGUAUCCAGGUCCUUCUCAGAGAAUUAAAAAGCCUGUACAGGUCUAGAUAUUGGUAUUUUUAAUUGAUGAUAAGCUGGAAUAAUAUUAAUACACACAAAGCACGUGUUGUAACUUUCAUUAUGCUUCCUUAGAGCUCUGUUCACGGAAAGGGCCUGGGAGCUGCAACACCUCAACAGCAACAAGCACACCUGCUACCUAGAACUUGGUUUCUAAAAACCAUCCUCCUCUAAAAGGAAACAGAGCUCUUUGAAGAAACGCAGAAGGUAAGCAUGAGCAAAUUACUUUUUAGAGGUAACUUUGCUGAACUUGUGAAGAAUGGUGUGCAAGGUCCAGAGCGACUGCAGGAGAGGGAAGGUGGGAUUCCCACAGAGCAGGAGCACAGAUAAGCCAAGCAAGGCCCUGCUUGGAAGGCAGCAAUCAACAGAGAUGCACAGACCUGUGAGGGUGCCGGGACAGCCAUGCAACAAUGCAGCCCUUUUGCUUCCUGAGCUCACCAGUUCCCUCGCUCCACCUCUGAGAGGUGGUUUGGAGAAACACAGCCCUUCUCAAGAGGGCUGCAAGCUACUUAAGUCCUGAAAAUUUCCACAAGGCUGAGUCAAAUCUGCGUUUCAUCAUCUAUAAGAAAGGUACCUAUCGAGAACACCCUGCUGGCCAGUGUGUAAAUAUCUAAAGGAGGACUCAGAAAACACCGGGGAAGUCCAGCCUGCACGUGGUGGCUGGGCUUCAGUGAAGCAUGCAGCACAACAGGAGUUGUAAGUAGUAGUUACAUCAGCAGCCCUGGAAAUUCUGCUCAGAACCAAACUGAACAAAUAACAUUAUCUAAGGCUUACAAUUAUUUAACUCCCUAAAUUUUCUGUCCUCCCAGUAGCACUUUCAAAUGCCUAAAAGCAAUUAAAAGAAACAUUUUUCCAAU